AUUGAACGCUGGCGGCAUGCUUUACACAUGCAAGUCGAACGGUAACAGGCCGCAAGGUGCUGACGAGUGGCGAACGGGUGAGUAAUGCAUCGGAACGUGCCCAGUCGUGGGGGAUAACGCAGCGAAAGCUGUGCUAAUACCGCAUACGAUCUAUGGAUGAAAGCGGGGGACCGUAAGGCCUCGCGCGAUUGGAGCGGCCGAUGUCAGAUUAGGGAGUUGGUGGGGUAAAGGCCUACCAAGCCGACGAUCUGUAGCUGGUCUGAGAGGACGACCAGCCACACUGGGACUGAGACACGGCCCAGACUCCUACGGGAGGCAGCAGUGGGGAAUUUUGGAUAAUGGGCGCAAGCCUGAUCCAGCAAUGCCGCGUGCAGGAAGAAGGCCUUCGGGUUGUAAACUGCUUUUGUACGGAACGAAACGGUCUGGGUUAAUACCCUGGGCUAAUGACGGUACCGUAAGAAUAAGCACCGGCUAACUACGUGCCAGCCGCCGCAGUAAGAC
rnacentral:rRNA from 1 species